CAAUAGCGUAUAUUAAAGUUGUUGCGGUAAAAAAGCUCGUAGUUGGAUUUCUGUUGAGAGCGACCGGUCCAUACCAUGUAUGCGUAUCUGGCUUGCUCUCGGCAUCCUCUCGAUCGACGUUACUGCGCUUGAUUGCGUGGUGCGGAUCUCGGGACUUUUACUUUGAGGAAAUUAGAGUGUUCACGGCAGGCUUUCGCCAGAAUACAUUAGCAUGGAAUAAUACUAUAGGAUCUUGGUUCUAUUUUGUUGGUUUCUAGAAUUGAGAUAAUGAUUAAUAGGGACAAUUGGGGGCAUUCGUAUCAACACGUCAGAGGUGGAAUUCUUGGAUUGUGUUGCGACGAACUACUGCGAAAGCAUUUGCCAAGGAUGUUUUCAUUGA
rnacentral:rRNA from 1 species